rnacentral:rRNA from 1 species
CCUAGGGUGGCUGCAGUAGGGAAUAUUGGUGAAUGGGCGAAAGCCUGAACCAGCAACGCCGCGUGUGCGAUGAAGGCCUUCGGGUUGUAAAGCACUUUUUCAUCGGGAAGAGGAAGGACGGUACCGGUGGAAUAAGCCUCGGCUAACUACGUGCCAGCAGCCGCGGUAAAACGUAGGAGGCGAGCGUUAUCCGGAUUUACUGGGUGUAAAGCGCGUGCAGGCGGUUCGUUAAGUUGGGUGUAAAAGCUCCUGGCUCAACUGGGAGAGGUCGCUCAAGACUGGCGGACUAGAGGGUGGUAGAGGAAGGUGGAAUUCCGGGUGUAGUGGUGAAAUGCGUAGAUAUCCGGAGGAACACCAGUGGCGAAAGCGGCCUUCUGGGCCACACCUGACGCUCAGACGCGAAAGCUAGGGUAGCAAACGGGAUUAGAGACCCCGGUAGUCCUAGCCGUAAACGAUGUGAACUUGGCGGCGGGCGGGUAAAACCGCUCGGUGCCGAAGCAAACGCGAUAAGUUCACCACCUGGGGACUACGGCCGCAAGGUUA